UGGGGAAUUUUGGACAAUGGGGGAAACCCUGAUCCAGCCAUCCCGCGUGUGCGAUGAAGGCCUUCGGGUUGUAAAGCACUUUUGGCAGGAAAGAAACGUCGCGGGUUAAUACCCCGCNAAACUGACGGUACCUGCAGAAUAAGCACCGGCUAACUACGUGCCAGCAGCCGCGGUAAUACGUAGGGUGCAAGCGUUAAUCGGAAUUACUGGGCGUAAAGCGUGCGCAGGCGGUUCGGAAAGAAAGAUGUGAAAUCCCAGAGCUUAACUUUGGAACUGCAUUUUUAACUACCGGGCUAGAGUGUGUCAGAGGGAGGUGGAAUUCCGCGUGUAGCAGUGAAAUGCGUAGAUAUGCGGAGGAACACCGAUGGCGAAGGCAGCCUCCUGGGAUAACACUGACGCUCAUGCACGAAAGCGUGGGGAGCAAA
rnacentral:rRNA from 1 species